rnacentral:rRNA from 1 species
CAGCAGCCACGGUAAUACGGAGGGAGCUAGCGUUGUUCGGAAUUACUGGGCGUAAAGCGCACGUAGGCGGCUUUGUAAGUCAGAGGUGAAAGCCUGGAGCUCAACUCCAGAAUUGCCUUUGAGACUGCAUCGCUUGAAUCCAGGAGAGGUGAGUGGAAUUCCGAGUGUAGAGGUGAAAUUCGUAGAUAUUCGGAAGAACACCAGUGGCGAAGGCGACUUUCUGGUCUGUAACUGACGCUGAUGUGCGAAAGCGUGGGGAUCAAACAGGAUUAGAUACCCCAGUAGUCCCUGUCUCUUAUAA